rnacentral:rRNA from 1 species
AUUGAACGCUGGCGGCAGGCCUAACACAUGCAAGUCGAACGAGUGGCGGACGGGUGAGUAAUGUCUGGGAAACUGCCUGAUGGAGGGGGAUAACUACUGGAAACGGUAGCUAAUACCGCAUACCAUCGGAUGUGCCCAGAUGGGAUUAGCUAGUUGGUGGGGUAAAGGCCUACCAAGGCGACGAUCCGUAACUGGUCUGAGAGGAUGAUCAGGCACACUGAAACUGAGACACGGUGCAGACUCCUACGGGAGGCAGCAGUGGGGAAUAUUGGAGAAUGGGCGAAAGCCUGCUCAAGCCAUGACGCGUGUGGGAUGAAGGUCGUCGGAUUGUAAAGCACUUUAAGUUGGGAGGCGUUACUAACAGAAUAAGCACCGCCUAAUUUCGUGCCAGCAGCCGCGGUAAUUC